CUGAAUAAACAGGGGAGCUUGUUUUGACAGGCUGAGAGGAAGGAAUCACCUUCGACCCUUAUACCUGAUGUGGAUAAUGCCGCCGUAGGAAAAUGUUUGCUCUAAACAAAU
rnacentral:ncRNA from 1 species